UUGUUUUAGGGAUUAACAAGUCCCUGCUAAUUGAAUCCAUUCAUCACAUUGUCAGCAUCACAAGUUUUAUUUUUUGUUGAUCAUUAUCGGAUGGUACAAUU
rnacentral:snoRNA from 1 species